rnacentral:sRNA from 1 species
UCAUUGCCAAAAGGUUAAGGUCACGAGA